CCUACGGGCGGCAGCAGUGGGGAAUAUUGGGCAAUGGACGCAAUCCUGACCCAGCAACGCCGCGUGAAGGAAGAAGGCUUUCGGGUUGUAAACUUCUUUUGUCAGGGACGAAGCAAGUGCCGGUACAUGACGAAUAAGCCAAGGCUACCUACGUGCCAGCAGCCGCGGUAAUACGUAGGUGGCAAGCGUUAUCCGGAUUUACUGGGUGUAAAGGGCGUGUAGGCGGGACAGCAAGUCAGAUGUGAAAACCCCGGGCUCAACCUGUGGCCUGCAUUUGAAACUGUAGUUCUUGAGUACUGGAGAGGCAGACGGAAUGCCUAGUGGAGCGGUGAAAUGCGUAGAUAUGAGGAGGAACACCAGUGGCGAAGGCGGUCUGCUGGACAGCAACUGACGCUGAGGCGCGAAAGCGUGGGGAGCAAACAGGAUUAGAUACCCCUGUAGUC
rnacentral:rRNA from 1 species